rnacentral:rRNA from 1 species
GAUGAACGCUGGCGGCGUGCCUAAUACAUGCAAGUCGAGCGAACAGACGAGGAGCUUGCUCCUCUGACGUUAGCGGCGGACGGGUGAGUAACACGUGGAUAACCUACCUAUCAGACUGGGAUAACUUCGGGACACCGGAGCUAAUACCGGAUAAUAUAUUGAACCGCAUGGUUCAAUAGUGAAAGACGGUUUUGCUGUCACUUAUAGAUGGAUCCGCGCCGCAUUAGCUAGUUGGUAAGGUAACGGCUUACCAAGGCGACGAUGCGUAGCCGACGUGAGAGGGUGAUCGGCCACACUGGAACUGAGACACGGUCCAGACUCCUACGGGAGGCAGCAGUAGGGAAUCUUCCGCAAUGGGCGAAAGCCUGACGGAGCAACGCCGCGUGAGUGAUGAAGGUCUUCGGAUCGUAAAACUCUGUUAUUAGGGAAGAACAAAUGUGUAAGUAACUAUGCACGUCUUGACGGUACCUAAUCAGAAAGCCACGGCUAACUACGUG